CCUACGGGAGGCAGCAGUGGGGGAUAUUGCACAAUGGGGGAAACCCUGAUGCAGCGACGCCGCGUGUGGGAAGACGGUCCUCUGGAUUGUAAACCACUGUCCCCAGGGACGACGAUGACGGUACCUGGGGAGGAAGCUCCGGCUAACUACGUGCCAGCAGCCGCGGUAAUACGUAGGGAGCGAGCGUUGUCCGGAAUUACUGGGUGAAAAGGGAGCGUAGGCGGGACUGCAAGUUGGUUGUCAAAUCUACCGGCUCAACCGGUAGCCGCACUCAAAACUGCAGUUCUUGAGUGAAGUAGAGGCAGGCGGAAUUCCUAGUGUAGCGGUGAAAUGCGUAGAUAUUAGGAGGAACACCAGUGGCGAAGGCGGCCUGCUGGGCUUUUACUGACGCUGAGGCUCGAAAGUGUGGGGAGCAAACAGGAUUAGAUACCCGUGUAGUC
rnacentral:rRNA from 1 species